GGGCGAUUAGCUCAGUGGUAGAGCACCUGGAUCACAACCAGGGGGUCACUGGUUCAAAACCAGUAUCGCCCA
rnacentral:tRNA from 1 species